rnacentral:tRNA from 1 species
GCCCCGGUAGCUCAGCUGGAUAGAGCAAUGCUUUCCUAAAGCAUAGGUCAUAGGUUCGAAUCCUAUCCGGGGUG